GAUGAACGCUGGCGGCGUGCCUAAUACAUGCAAGUCGAGCGAACAGAUGAGGAGCUUGCUCCUCUGACGUUAGCGGCGGACGGGUGAGUAACACGUGGAUAACCUACCUAUAAGACUGGGAUAACUUCGGGAAACCGGAGCUAAUACCGGAUAAUAUAUUGAACCGCAUGGUUCAAUAGUUAAAGACGGUUUUGCUGUCACUUAUAGAUGGAUCCGCGCCGCAUUAGCUAGUUGGUAAGGUAACGGCUUACCAAGGCAACGAUGCGUAGCCGACCUGAGAGGGUGAUCGGCCACACUGGAACUGAGACACGGUCCAGACUCCUACGGGAGGCAGCAGUAGGGAAUCUUACGCAAUGGGCGAAAGCCUGACGGAGCAACGCCGCGUGAGUGAUGAAGGUCUUCGGAUCGUAAAACUCUGUUAUUAGGGAAGAACAAAUGUGUAAGUAACUAUGCACGUCUUGACGGUACCUAAUCAGAAAGCCACGGCUAACUACGUG
rnacentral:rRNA from 1 species